GCUCCGGUGGUGUAGCACGGUCAAGCAUUAGGGACUCUCAAUCCCCCGAUCGGGUCCAAAUCCCGGCCGGAGCA
rnacentral:tRNA from 1 species